AAGAAUGAGAUGAUAAAGACUUUGACAGCUGAGCAGGAAACCUAUUAGAGUGUCAUGAGGCAAUGUGGUUUUGGACAGCUGAUUGGAGGAUAUGCAGGUAAUAUAGAAAGAAGGCUUUGGAAGGUCUCUUAUUAUGCUAGCAAUAUUUUGAUACAUGUGGAAUAGGGAUGCAUGUUUUAGAUUGAAACUGUCUAGGAAAAAGGUUCUUAUUUUAUUAGUGUUUACCGUUAGGGAGGAUAUUAUUAUGAUAUUAAAAAGUAGGCGAAUACAAUCCUUUUUGAAAGUAUGUUUUAGGGAGAUACAGUUUUUUGUUAGUAAAAUAAGGAAGCAGAGAUUUUUAUUAUCCUAAGUAGCCUUAAUACAAUCUUUUUCUUAAUUUCUCUAAUUAGUGAUUGCCAUCAAGCUCUUGACUCUUUAGUUAUAUAGUAUAUAUUCUUCUACUAGAAAUGAAAUACCUUUAUAGUACUUUAGCAAGGAUGCUGGCAUAAUGGUUGUAAGUGACUCAUUUUGAAAUACAGACUAAGAAGUCUAACAUCUAAGUGAGUAUUUAGGUGUGCAAACUCUUAUACAAAAUGAAAGAAAAUGGAGGUGGAAACUAUAAGGUAUACCAUCGACCGAUCCUAAUGUUCUUGGAUAGAUUUGAGUAGUAGUAUAGCUAUUAGGAUUCGAAAGAUGGUGAAGUAUGCCUGAAUAGGGUGAAGGCAGAGGAAACUCUAGUGAAGGCUCGCAGUAGUUCUAAUAUAUAAAUCGAUCAUUAAAUUUGGUUAUAGGGGCAAAAGACUAAUUGAACUAUCUAGUAGCUAGUUCUAGCCAAAGUUUCCCUCAGGAUAGCAGUAACGAUUAAUAGUUUUAUGAGGUAAAGUGAAUAAUUAGAGGCCUUGGAGUUGAAACAACCUUAACCUAUUCUCAAACUUUAAAUAUGUAAGAAGUCCCUAUUACUUAGUUGAAUGUGGAUAUUGGAAUAUAUAUUACUAGUAGGCUAUUUUUGGUAAGUGGAACUGGUGAUGUGGUAUGAAUCGAAUGUGAGAUUAAGGUGCCAGAAUGCAUGCUCAUUAGAUACCACAAAAGGUAUUAGUUCAUCUAGAUAGCAGGAUAGUAGCCAUGGAAUUUGGAAUCUGCUAAGGAGUAUAUAACAACUUAUCUGCUAAAUGAACUAGUUCUGAAAAUGGAUGGUCAUUAAGUAUGCUAACUAUACCUUGCCGGCAUGGUAGAUAUUAUGCUAUAGUAAGUAGGCCAAUGUAGAGGUCUGUAAUGAAGCUUUGGGAGUGAUCUUAGGUAGAAUAGCCUCUAGUAUAGAUCUUGAUAGUAGUAGUAAAUAUUCAAAUAAAAACUUUGAGGACUAAGUAGGGAAGGGUUAUAUGUAAACAACAGAUGGCCAUGGGUUAGUCGAUCCUAAGAGAUAGGGAAACUCCGUUUUAAAAUGCCUGAUUCAUCAGGUAAUCCCUCGAAAGGGCAGCCGGUUAAUAUUCCGGCACCUGGAUGUGGAUUUUUCGCGGCAACGCAACUGAACCUGGAGACGUCGGCAGAGGGCCCGGGAAGAGUUAUCUUUUCUUCUUAACAGUCUAAUCACCCUGGAAUCGGUUUGUCCGGAGAUAGGGUACUCUGACUGGAAGAGCAUAGUACUUUUGCUGUAUUUAGUAUCCUUUUGACAGCCCUUGAAAAUCUAGGGGAAGGAAUAAUUUUCAUGCCAGGUCAUAUCCACAACUAUAGCAGGUCUCCAAGGUGAAUAGCCUCUAGUUGAUAGAAUAAUGUAGAUAAGGGAAGUCGGCAAAAUAGAUCCGUAACUUCGGGAAAAGGAUUGGCUCUAAGGGUUGGGUGUACAGGGCCUUGGUGCAAAGCACUCGGAGUGGGGAGGGGCUAGACCUUGCGUCCGGACUCUCCUAUGCACUGGGUGUGGCGGGCUUUGGCUGGUUUCGGCCUUCUUGUGCAUGCUUAACAACCAACUUAGAACUAGUAUAGACUAGGGGAAUCUGACUAUUUAAUUAAAAUAUAGUAUUGCGAUGAUCAGAAAGUGAUGUUGAUGCAAUAUGAUUUCUACCCAGUUCUCAAUAUAUCAAAGUGAAGCAAUUAAACCAAGUACUAGUAAAUGGCAGAAGUAACUAUGACUCUCUUCAGGUAGCCAAAUGCCUUGUUAUCUAAUUAGUGAUGCAUAUGAAUAGAUUAAUGAGAUUUCUACUAUCCCUAUCUACAUCUAGUAAAACUAUAGCUAAGGGAAUGGGCUUGGCAGAAUUAGCAGAGAAAGAAGACCCUAUUGAGCUUGACUCUAGUUUGAUAUUUUAAAAAAAUAUAGAAGGUAUAGAAUAGGUAGGAGCUUCGAUGCCAGUGAAAUACCACUACUCUUAUUAUUUUUUUACUUAUUCAAUAAAGUGGAACUGAACUUUACUAUCCAACUUCUAGCAUUAAUGUCCUUUGCAGGUAGAUUCGAGUUGAAGACAUUGUUAGGUAGGGAGUUUAGCUGAGGCAGUACAUCUGUUAAACUAUAAUGUAGGUAUCCUAAGGAAGACUCAUAGAGAACAAAAAUCCUCAGUAGAACAAAAGGGUAAAGAUCCCCUUGAUUUUAAUUUUCAGUAUGAAUACAAACCAUGAAAGUAUAGCCUAUCAAUCCUUUAGUUCUUCGAAGUUUGAGGCUAGAGGUGCCAAAAAGAUUACUACAGGGAUAACUGGCUUGUGGCAGUAAAGGGUUCAUAGUGAUGUUGCUUUUUGAUCCUUCUAUAUUGGCUCUUCCUAUCGUACCGAAGUAGAAUUCGGUAAGCAUUGGAUUGUUUACCCACUAAUAGGGAACGUGAGCUGGGUUUAGACCAUUAUAAGACAGGUUAGUUUUACCCUACUAAUGAAUAUUAUCAUAAUAGUAAUUCAACUUAGUACGAGAGGAACCGUUGAUUCAGAUAAUUGGUUUUUGCGGCUGUCUGACAAGGCAAUGCCGCGAAGCUACCAUCUGCUGGAUAAUGGCUGAACGCCUCUAAGUCAGAAUCCAUGCUAGAACGUGAUGAUUACUUGUCCAGCUUAUUGUAGUUGAAUAUGAAUAGGCCUUUUUGGCCCUAAAUUAUAGUAGGCUAGUAAUUGUAUCUAGUGUUGAAAAGUACUUGAUACCUACUAGUGAAUAGCAAUUUGA
rnacentral:rRNA from 1 species